GACGAACGCUGGCGGCGUGCUUAACACAUGCAAGUCGAACGGAAAGGCCCUGCUUUUGUGGGGUGCUCGAGUGGCGAACGGGUGAGUAACACGUGAGUAACCUGCCCUUGACUUUGGGAUAACUUCAGGAAACUGGGGCUAAUACCGGAUAGGAGCUCCUGCUGCAUGGUGGGGGUUGGAAAGUUUCGGCGGUUGGGGAUGGACUCGCGGCUUAUCAGCUUGUUGGUGGGGUAGUGGCUUACCAAGGCUUUGACGGGUAGCCGGCCUGAGAGGGUGACCGGCCACAUUGGGACUGAGAUACGGCCCAGACUCCUACGGGAGGCAGCAGUGGGGAAUAUUGCACAAUGGGCGGGAGCCUGAUGCAGCAACGCCGCGUGCGGGGUGACGGCCUUCGGGUUGUAAACCGCUUUCGCCUGUGACGAAGCGUGAGUGACGGUAAUGGGUAAAGAAGCACCGGCUAACUACGUG
rnacentral:rRNA from 1 species